AGGGGUUUAGCUCAGCUGGUAGAGCAGCGGACUCCAAAUCCGCCGGUCGGGGGUUCGAGUCCCUCAGCCCCUG
rnacentral:tRNA from 1 species